UACGUUCACAUGCUGCAUGUCGA
rnacentral:siRNA from 1 species